AACGAACGCUGGCGGCAGGCCUAACACAUGCAAGUCGAGCGAAGUCUUCGGACUUAGUGGCGCACGGGUGAGUAACACGUGGGAAUAUACCUUACGCUGGGGGAUAACAUCGGAAACUGAUGCUAAUACCGCAUACGCCCUUCGGGGGAAAGAUUUAUCGGCGAAAGAUUAGCCCGCGUCCGAUUAGCUAGUUGGUGAGGUAAUGGCUCACCAAGGCUCCGAUCGGUAGCUGGUCUGAGAGGAUGACCAGCCACACUGGGACUGAGACACGGCCCAGACUCCUACGGGAGGCAGCAGUGGGGAAUAUUGGACAAUGGGCGCAAGCCUGAUCCAGCCAUGCCGCGUGAGUGAUGAAGGCCUUAGGGUUGUAAAGCUCUUUCACCCACGACGAUGAUGACGGUAGUGGGAGAAGAAGCCCCGGCUAACUUCGUG
rnacentral:rRNA from 1 species